rnacentral:rRNA from 1 species
UAAGGUGAGGCAGAAAUGCGUAGCCGAUGGGAAACAGAUUAAUAUUUCUGUACUUCAAUUUAAUGCGAUGUGGGGACGGAGAAGGUUAGCUCAGCCAACUGUUGGAUAUGUUGGUUCAAGCCUGUAGUCAUGCCUGGUAGGCAAAUCCGCCGGGCUAAGAUGAGGGGUGAUAACGAGUGUGCUUGCACACGAAGUGAGUGAUACCCUGCUUCCAGGAAAAGCCACUAAGCUUCAGCUUGUAACGACCGUACCGCAAACCGACACUGG